GGAUCAAGGAUGCUGUUGACAGUUGAGGAAUUCAUGCUGUCUUUUCUAAGACACAGAUCAAGGUUGCUUUUGAAUGCACUAUCAGUUGUUAAAGCCACCGUUUCUUUUUCAGAUGAUUACAUUUUUGUCUCUUGCUCUUUGGUUUCAGACAUUACAUGAUGAUCUACUGUCUGGAAAGAUCCGCUCCAACAGAAUGUUCCUUUGGAGGAAUCCCGCCACCUCACUCCGACUAAAGCAGCAUCUUAAGAUAAGGACACUAAGUUGGAGUGAGCAGCGCGUAAGUAAAAAUGCCAUCCAUCAUGAGUAUUUUUACUCUCAGGGGUGUUACAUUUGAAAGGUGUUUACUUUCUGUGUUUUUCUUCAAUAGAUGUUCGAGCUCCUGCGGUUCAUUGAGGUGGCAACAAACAUUUCUAAAAAAAUAAAGAGAGGCGAGAUUCAUCUGCUUGAUUUCGUUUUUGACGUCAUGCUCCCAGAGGUGAGUAGAUCAAACUAUAUAGCUUGCUUUGAAAAUUGAUGAUAUUGUUAAGAGGUUGUUCUUAUUCAUUUGGAAAGCUCAAGAACAACAAUUA
rnacentral:lncRNA from 1 species